UGGGGUAUUGUGUGUAGAUUGUUGAGGGAAAAAAAUAUUUUAUCCAUUAAAGAAUAAGGCUGUAAUGUGACAAACAAAUGUGGAAAAAGUCAAGGGGUCUGAAUACUUUCCGAAUGCACUGUUUGUCAUUAAUAUAGACUAGAAGUCGAAUAGAUGUUUUCUUGAUAGAGCCAUUCUUGCAGGCAAUUGCUGACUCAGCAUGUACUGCAAAUCCAUCCAUUUAAUUUUUGUAAACAUUGUGGGAUGCUGACUCGGGAGAACAAAGCCUCCUUGAUAACGGCAAACCCCCUUAUUUCUCAGUUUCCUGUCUGCUGCUUUUGGUAAAUCCUAUUUAUUUUUGUUGCUGGGUUCUUCCCUGUGUACAAUGAGUCUGGAAAUUCCAGUCAGCCGGAUAACUUACCUGUUCUCUGUGUACUCUGACAGGCUGCCCGUAUUUAAUAUUCAGGCACAAGCCUAAGGCAAGACUGGGCCCAAGUAUAAAGAAGCCUUUCAAUGAGGACACAAUGUUGUGAACCUAAUGGCCGACGCCCUUUUGAGUGAACGAAUUCCCUAAAAUGACUCUAUUGUCACUAGACAUCCUUUUGUGUCCUGUGUCCUGUGACAAGACUCCGGGGGCUGUAUGUAUCAAGCAUCUCAGACUAGGAGUGCGGACCAAAAUUAUUUCCAGCAACAUCAAACUGUUUUAGAGACUGACGGACAGGGUCUGAUAGUGCUCCAGUUCUCCCUGUCAGAAUAAGCAACAGAGGACUUGGAAACCAUAUCAACUCCUACAGAAAUGGAACUAUGGUUGUUUAGCUACUAUCUUGUCUCAUUGCUACAACUCCCGUAUGGGCUCGGGAGAGACGAAGGUUGAAAGUCAUGUGUCCUCCGACACAACACAGCGCGCAUCCAACCCGGAAGCCUGGCAACCUUGGUUAGCGUGCACUGCGCCCGGCCCGCCACAGGAGUCGCUGGUGCACGAUGAGACAAGGAUAUCCCUACCGGCCAAACCCUCCCUAACACGGACGACGCUAUGCCAAUUGUGCGUCGCCGCACGGACCUUCCGGUCACGGCCGGUUACGACAGAGCCUGGGCGCGAACCCAGAGUCUCUGGUGGCACAGCUGGCGCUGCAGUACAGCGCCCUUAACCACUGCGCCACCCAGGAGGCCCGUGGUUGUAAAAAUCAUUUAAUUUGGUUGUUAUUCCAUUAGUUUACCUUGAGGCAGAUGCCCCAGGGGCUGAGCGACCCACACAUUGAAUAUGGACGUUUUAAAUGUUAGAACAAUCACCGGUAAAACCUUUCUCAUGAAUGACCUCAUUACUGAGCGCAAAGUUGAUUGCAUGUUUUUCACUGAAACAUGACUGUGUAGUCAGACUGUAGUGCCGCUCUUAUUGAAACCUACCCCCAGACUGCAGCUUUUCAUACUCUAUCAGAAAAGGGAAAAGGGUAGGGGGACAGCUUCUAAUUUUACUAAUGCUCUCAGUUGUAAGGACAUUUCGUUUGGUGACUUUGGGUCUUUUGAGCAUCUUGCUACACUGUUUAAAUGUCAGCCACCAGUGCUGGCUAUAACCCUGUAUAGGCCACCAAAGCACUGCCCCACUUUCUUUACUGAUUUAUCUGAACUAUUGUCUAUUGUCCUUGAGAACUAUGAUAAAAUCAUUGUGUUGGGUGAUGUUAAUAUUCAUGUUGACAAAGAGACUGACUCCAAGGCCUGUCUGUAUUGAAUGUAUUAAUAUUUUGAGCUCUAAUCUUUUCAUAUUUUAUUUUCAUAGUUGUUUAAAUAUUUUUUUCCCCUGUAAAGCACAUUGCUUUGCAUACCAUGUCUUAAAUGUGCUGUAUAAAUACAGCUUGAUUUCAUUUGACCUAGGAUCAGGGCACUAUCCACAAAGCAUAUCAGAGGAGGAGUGCUGACCUAGGAUCAGGGCACUAUCCACAAAGCAUAUCAGAGGAGGAGUGCUGACCUAGGAUCAGGGCACUAUCCACAAAGCAUAUCAGAGGAGGAGUGCUGACCUAGGAUCAGGGCACUAUCCACAAAGCAUAUCAGAGGAGGAGUGCUGAUCUAGGAUCAGGGCACUAUCCACAAAGCAUAUCAGAGGAGGAGUGCUGAUCUAGGAUCAGUUUAGCCUUUUAGAUCAUAAUGAAUAAGAUUAAAUGGACAGAUGGGACUUGGUAAAACCUAAACCUGCACUCCUAAUCUGAGAUGCUUUGUGGAUAUGGGCCCUGGUCCCACUAGUCCAUAUAAUCUUAUACAUUAUGAUCUAAAAGGCUGAACUGAUCCUAGAUCAGCACUCCUACUUUAUGACACCUACAACCCCUGGUUAAGGCUACUUCCUCUCUACCCAACCACCCCAACAUUGCAUGAAAGCAUGCAUGAGAAUGGAGCAUGAUGGGCAGGUAGGUAGGCACUUCCUCUGUGGUUGGUGGUGUGGCAUUUAAAAUUAGCAAUUUGAGCAGAUACAGUAUUUGCACAUUCUCUUUUCUAAUAAGGUAAUAGUCUCAUAAGGCCAUCCUUGGCUAAUAAGAUGAUAGCUGUCGGAAAAGGCCAUUGUGUAGCAUGCUACGCAGCAUGUGUACUGCAUAGACAGUGUGCAGCACAUACUGUACCCAGCACAACAGUACAACAGACAUCACUGAUAAGCCAAGGGUGGGCCUGGGAGGGUAUAGGCCCACCCACUGGGGAGCCAGGCCCAGCCAAUCAGAAUGAGUUUUUCUCAACAAAAGGGCUUUAUUACAGACAGAAAUACUCCUCAGUCACUUGUCCGGGUGACUGGUCUCAGACGAUCCCGCCGGUGAAGAAGCUGGAAGUGGAGGCCCAGGGCUGGCGUGGUUACACGCGGUCUGCAGUUGUGAGGCCGGUUGGAUGUAAUGCCAAAUUCUACAAAAUGAUGUUGGAGGUGGCAUACGGUAGAGAAAUUAACAUUCAAUUAUCUUGCAACAGCUCUUCUGGACAUUCCUGCAGUCAGCAUGCCAAUUGCACACUCCCUCAAAACUUGAGACAUCUGUGGCUUUGUGUUGUGUUACAAAACUGCACAUUUUAGAAUGACUUUCUAUUGUCCCCAGCACAAGGUGCACCUGUGUAAUGAUCAUGCUGUUUAAUCCAUUUCUUGAUAUGCCACACCUGUCAGGUGGACGGAUUAUCUUGGCAAAGGAGAAAUGAUCACUAACAGGGAAGUAAACACAUUUGUGCCCAGAAUCUGAGAGAAAUAAGCUUUUUGUGUGUAUUGAACAUUUCUGGGAUCUUUUAUUUCAGCUCAUGAAACAUGGGUCCAACAUUUUACAUGUUGUGUUUAUAUUUUUAUUCAGUAUAUGUCCAUUUUCAGAAAUGUUGGUAAAUUAACUUGAAUUGUUUAAAGAACUUGUAAAAGAGAUUGGUGGGUUUUUCCGCUAUCUAAUCAUGGCAUGGGCUUAUUCAAUGACAGUCAUGUCUGUGUUUUUGGACAGCAACACUUUCUCAUUGUGAAGAGAACAGCAUUUGCUUGCUGGUGUGCUGAGAAACGUGCUGGCUGUUCUAGCUUCCUUUUUUUGUGAGGGACAUGCAUCUUUCCAAACUUUUGGUUUUCAGUGUGGAUAAAUUAAAACUCCUUGUUUGGAUAAAUUGUUCAUGCUUUGGAAAAACUAUGUUGAUAAUAUUGUUUCUAUUACAUUAACGGGUGACAGG